rnacentral:rRNA from 1 species
GCUCGAGUGGCGAACGGGUGAGUAACACGUGAGUAACCUGCCCUUGACUUUGGGAUAACUUCAGGAAACUGGGGCUAAUACCGGAUAGGAGCUCCUGCUGCAUGGUGGGGGUUGGAAAGUUUCGGCGGUUGGGGAUGGACUCGCGGCUUAUCAGCUUGUUGGUGGGGUAGCGGCUUACCAAGGCUUUGACAGGUAGCCGGCCUGAGAGGGUGACCGGCCACAUUGGGACUGAGAUACGGCCCAG